rnacentral:lncRNA from 10 species
AAUUCACACAAAUGGUAGGUGGUCUCUCUUCAUCAUAUGUGAUGCCCUAGAAGUGAAUAAUCAGGAGGCAUGCAAUUGGCAAAACAUUAAGAAGAAAGAUAGAGAGAGAGAGAGAAAGAGAGAGAAAGAAAGAAAGAAGAUAAAGAAAGAGAGAGAAAGAAAGAAAGAAGAGAAAGAAAGAGAGAGAGAAAGAGAAAGAGAAAAAGAGAGAGAAAAAGAGAGAGACAGAGAAAGAGAAGAAAAAAGAGAGAAAGAAAGAAGAAAAGAAUGAAAGAAAAGAAAGAAAGAAAGAAGGAAAAGAAAGAAAAGAAAGAAAGAAAGACAAAAGAAAGAAAGAGAAAAAGAAAGAAAGAAAGGAGGGAGGGAGGGAGGAACUAAGGAAGGAAGGAAAGAGCCAUGUGUACUAAUUCCCCAGGGCUGCCAUACAAAGUACCACUACACUGCAAGCUCCGCCUCCUGGGUUCACGCCAUUCUCCUGCCUCAGCCUCCCAAGUAGCUGGGACUACAGGCGCCCGCCACUACGCCCGGCUAAUUUUUUGUAUUUUUAGUAGAGACUGGGUUUCACCGUUUUCAAAGGGAAAACAAAAGACCAUUCAUAUGUUUUCAUAAAAGACCAACACUAAAAGAAAGUCUUGACAUAUUGCCUGGUUAGACAGAUAACACAGUCUGACCUUCAGUCAGGGAGAAGCUAGGCUAUGCAGGAACACCCAUCAUGGCACACCUAUUGGCAACUGGGUUACCAGAAUCAAGGUGGAUUUAGCCCUCAAUAAAUUAAUACAAAGCAGCUCCUUAUUGCCACUUCUUGAAGUGGAAGGAAAAUCACUGAGAAUAUGGAAAGAAAAAAGUAACAUAUCUAGCAAUAUGGGAAAUGGAUACCCAGGAGGCCAUCCAUUCCAUACAUCCUGGAUAUAUUAAAACCUUCAGAUGCUCUGUAAUCUAUCUUGCAACAUUGCUUACAAGUGCCUUCAGUGUGAUGAUAAGGUAUGCUGAACCCCAUGUAUUGUGUAAAUAUGAAUGAGAAAUGUCUUAUUUUUCAAAUCUUCAGAAUCU